rnacentral:rRNA from 1 species
UACGUAGGGGGCUAGCGUUGUCCGGAUUUACUGGGCGUAAAGGGCGCGUAGGCGGUCGUGACAAGUCACUUGUGAAAUCUCCGGGCUUAACUCGGAACGGUCAAGUGAUACUGUCGGACUAGAGUACAGAAGGGGCAACUGGAAUUCCCGGUGUAGCGGUGAAAUGCGCAGAUAUCGGGAGGAACACCAGUAGCGAAGGCGGCUCGCUGGGCCAUUCCUGACGCUGAGACGCGAAAGCUAGGGGAGCGAACAGG